ensembl:lncRNA
GCUUUGGGAACGCCCUUUAGCGUGACUGGCUCUGAAUCAUGUGUGUAAUCAGUCCAAUGGAUGGGCGAGAGUCAUAGGCGGGUGACGUCAGAGACCAGGAAGCUUAAAAGCAUGUGCGGCAAAUCAGGCAUUUAGCCUCUAGGAAUGAAGCAAGUGGCAGCAGAGAUGCCAGAAGUGUGGCACUGUGACGCAGCUUCUUGUUCCUUCGAGGAACCAUGGUUACAUGCGUAACCUGAUAAGUUUUUUGGCAUAUUGAUUGCCAUUUGUAUAACUGGAACUCAGGCUGCGUCGGAGGACGCUUUGGGAACGAGAAUGCCCACGCCGCCAGACUUUCAAAUCUCUGCAUAGUGUGGAAGAGCACAGCUAAAGUGAGAGAAAGAGCCAGGAGCCUGACAAGUAAACGGGGACAUCCCGCCCAAUGGCCAAACUUCUGAAGUAGUGAGUCUUGACCCCCAAGAGAGGGGAGAUCAGAGGACUCAAGGCUUUAGGAUAGCAUCCUGAUCCACCACUUAGCAUAAGCUUCUUCUGGCCAGAGGCCUCAGCGCACCGCAGAGGAAAUGUAUAACCAGAGGGUGUCUGCCCACUGACUGGCCACCGAAGGGCCUGCAGGAACUCCAGAACUGUACCAACCAGCCGGUUAACUGGGUCGAGCUGGCGGUCUUUGCACCAGGAGGUGAAAAGUUUCCACCUCAAGGCAUACAGUUACAGGCAUACAGGAGCUCUGGAUUGGAGGAUGGUUUCAGCAACCUCGGUUGAGAGACUCCGAGCUGGGGCGUACCCUCCGCCUGUGAGAGGAGGUCCCUUCUGACAGGAAUCUCCCCUGGAGAGCCACCUAGGAGGGAAAUCAAGUCCGAGAACCAUACUCGGCCCAGCCAGAAUGGGGCUACUAACAGCAGAAGGACCCCGUCCCGGUGCACUCUCUCCAGAACUCCUGGGAGCAGAGCGAUCAGGGGAAAGGCGUACAGACAAAGCCUUGGCCACAUCUGUACCAUGGCAUCCAGCCCCAAUGGAGCUGGAUGAAUCAGAGAGAGAACCAGAGGGGACAGUGCGAUGUCUAUCGAGUCACAAACAGGUCCACCUGAGUCUGGUCAAAAAUUCUCCAUAUCUACUUCACCACCUCAGGGUGAAGCAUCCAUUCCACCAGCCUCAGCCCCUUGAUCAUGCAAAGUGGGGUUUCCCUUAGGGAGAACCCCUUGGUUUUGAGCAACCACUGUAGGGGUCUCAUGUACAGCAGACCAAGAGGUAUCACAUUGGAUGCAGCUGCCAUCAAACCCAGCAGUCUCUGAAACUGCUUGACAGUGAGUGACCAGCCUUCUCUCACUCUCGCGACUGCGGUGAGGAUCGACUCGAUCCGAGCAGGUGACAUACGUGCCUGCAUCAUGGUUGAAUCCCACACCACGCCCAGAUAAGUGGUUCUCUGUACUGGAGAAAGCACACUUUUCUUGGCGUUAAGUCUUAACCCCAGCUCUUUCGUGUGAGCGAGAAUGACACCGUGAUGCCAAACCGCCAUCCACUCUGAUUGAGCUAAUAUCAACCAAUCAUCGAUGUGGUUGAGUCGUGAAAGUGUGGGGUGAGAGUGCAAGGGCAGAGGAAUGACUGGUAAUGGUAGGCUUUUGCCCCCAAAAGCAAACCUCAGGAACUUCCUAUGAUGAGGAAUGGUGAAGUACCAGCUGUAGGACCCAGACUCUACAACGCGAGGAGGGACCACCUCGAUGGCCUCCGUCCUCAGAGAGUGUCUACUUCUGUUCCAUUACCAGAGCCUGCUCGGGGCCCACCAGGGUGGGAAAGGCCCCGUUGAAUUGACGCAGAGGAGAACCGAACUGGAUUCUGUGGCCUCUCACUACAGUGUGCAGGACCCACUGAGACACGUUUGGCAGUAGUUUCCGGGCAGUAAGUGAAGUGCUCGUCUGAGACCGCUGCACCCUUGAACACCGGCAUGGUUGGCAGAUCGAUCUCCUGAGGGCACUGAGGAGAGACAGGCCCCGUGUAAUGCGGUGUACACCGCUCUUCCCCAGAGGGAACUGCCCUCUGAGGUCCUGAGCCACAGCAUCAGAACUCUCAAAGCUUUAGUCUGCUAUUAAAAAUGACGGCCCUCAGACCCACAUCGUCUGCUAGGAAGACUAGACCAGAGCCUGCUCGGGACAGGACCCAAUGAAGCACACUUAGCAGGGGCUCCCACACUGCCUUGUGACCUCCUAAGGGAACCAGUCUCGCGAGACCGGCCUCUGGUGUGCCUAGAGCAGCUAGCUAGGUGCCCUGAAGCUGCGGACCAGCAGGGGACGACCGUACUAACUACUCUAGAGACCUCCAUAGAGAUAGCGAGCCUCUUAGUACUCCUAUGUUUCCGGGCAGUAACUGAGACAAGCACUUGCUGGAGACCGCUGCACCCUGGAACAACGGCAGGGUUGGCAGAUCGAUCUCCUGAGGGCACUGAGGAGAGACGGGCACCAUGUAAUGCGGUGUACACCGCUCUUUCCCAGAGGGAGCUGGCCCUCAAAAAGUCCUAGGCCUUAGGCAUCAGCACAUUUAUGACGAAGACUAUCCAGCGAGAAUGACAGUCCACAGAACUGCCUUUUGCUAGAAUCCUUCGGCCUGGGAGCGCCACCCUGGCUCUAGACUCUCCGGAGUAUGAGAUGUGAUACCCCCAGCACGAGGGGCUGGAACACAGUAGGGUUGUGACUGCUCCCGCUCAGCAGCUCUUGCUGACCGCCUCAACCUUCUCAGAGGAAGAGAGGUAAAUUUUAUCCCAAGAGCCCAUGUAUAUCUAACUUCUCAUAGUCAGAUAAAUAUUUCAUUUUAUUUCUCAAAUUAAAUGUAGUCAAACAAACAUCAGUAGAAAGAUUCACAUUAAAAACCGAAAUGGUGUAAUAUAGGCAUUGCCUCGGCAGCGCGCGAGCCACUCAGUCACACAAACAACAUCAGUCUCCUCAGUGAAAGAUUGCCGCUGCAGCGAGCUCUCACUCAGAGGGGGAAGAAACUGCAGCGUGGGCUUCCAAGCCUCGAGAACGAGCUCUAGAUCUAGGGAACACGGGUGGAGAUAGGAAGAGCCAUCUCCAACCCGUCCGCCAGAUCAUGUGCAAUCCCAGUGAUCUCGGUCAAUGCUGUGCCUCAGCAGCAGCGGGACCACAAUCGCAAGACCACCCACACGGACACACUCCUCGCAGCGUGCCCUGCUAGAGAGGAGCGCUUAACAGCGGGAGAAGCACACUCAGCCCCCCGAGUGGCGACUGUGCGAGCUCCACUCCCCGUUAAUGCUGCUCUUUAUAAUAUCAGGCAUAAUAUGCUUGUGCAACUGGUGCUUGUGCAACUGAUGCUUGUGUAACUGCCGAGCUUAUCGACACCCUUCACAUCAAUCUCCUCAGAGAAAGAAAAGCAGAGCGUCGCGCCCUCUCACCGGGAUGAAAGUACCGCAACGAGGGCUUCCGAAACCCCGAGAGCAGGCGCCGGAUCUGGUGGUUAAGGAAGAAGAUAGGGACUUGCCAGUCUACAUUCCUUCCACCGGAUCUAAAAAGCGAAACCCAUGAGCACAACCACCACUCCGCCUCAGCGAAAGCGGGGCUGGCACCGCGAGAAAUGCCAGUGAAGGCUCCCUCCUCAAAGUGAAGAGUGAAGCAAAGCAGUAACAAACACUCGCAUUGCAGCCAUCAACUCCCUCGAGAGCUGAUUCUGCGUGCUUCACUCUCAAGCAGACAACACACAUACUGCGUGUGUCCCUACCCCAAUAUCUUUUUCUUUGCAGGCAGGGAAAACACACAGCCUGAAUGCUGCCUGCUCUUGCCCAAAACUUCUCAUGACUGAAGCUUUGACAUAAUGGAGCUUAUCAGUGGACAAACAACACUAAAUAAGACUCACAAACAGAUAGCGACUGACACACACACACAGAGCGCUUGCUGAAAGACACAAGGCUUUGGCGCACAUGCUUUUAGGCUUCCUGGUCUCUGACGUCAUCCGCCUAUGAUGUCUCACCCAUCCAUUGGACUGAUUACACACAUGAUUCAGGGCCGGUCACACUGAAGGGCGUUCCCAAAGCGUCCUCUGACGCAGCUUGAGUUCCUGAAGAGGAACAGGCUCAACAGUGAAAACGGGGAAACUACAUAAAUGCAUCAUACUCUUACAAUAAACCAUGGUUAAUUUUCAUAAGGGACAGAAUUAUAAGAACAAGACAGAAUACAUACAUACAUAUAUAGAUCCUGUGGCAUUAACAAGCCUCCAUAUCAAAGAAGAAUGAUUAUUAAAAUGUUAUAGUCACAGUUAUAGUCACACUUUCAUUAUCUGGAAAAGAGCCACAUGAAGAUUCUUCAAAAACCCUCCCUUCAUGUUCCACAGAAACAAUAACAUCAUAAAGGUCUGAAACAACAAGAGGGUGAGUAAAUUCUGACAGAAUGUUCAUUCUGGAGUGAACUAUUCCUUUAAAAUGUAUGCCGUGAGCGUGCUAGCAUGGGAACACAAAUCUAUGAGACUUCAGCAGCAGCAUAUUGAGAGAUGUAGCUAAUGGAGUUGAACAGAGCAAGUGGGUGGUUGAUGGUUCUAAAAUAUUUUUUUCUUCAUAAAUGGCACUCAUAACUGCACAGAAUUAUGACUGAAGGAGAUUCUUGGUUCUUAAUAAAACCUGGACUUAUAUAAUAUUAAGAAUAGUCUGUAAAGAAUUGUAGCUUUCACUCAGGGUCAAAAGAGCAUGUGGCCAGAUAAUAGAGUGUGUUUGCAAGGAUCAGUGUCCAGCUUAGACAAGAAGACAGAGACUGAUUUGACCAUAAAUAGAAAGCCAUUCAAUUUAAAUAAUUUUAGGAUGCUUUUUUUUUUUGAGAUGCCACGUAUAAAAUAUCCCAACUACAUGACAGAUAUCACUGAAAUAGGUGUCGUGAGAAAUCACACCUGUCGCUGGCUCUGUAAACAGCUAAAAAAGCAUAUGGGAACAGCACAUCCUUUUUUAGCCAAUCAAUGCUUACAGUCUGUUAAUUAUUUAGCACGUUGUUGACAUCAGGCUGGCUGACACAUUCUUGUCAUUUAUUUGUCUUUUUUUAGGGUCAGGUUUUGGAUAGAGGCCGUGUGUUUAAAGCAAUAUGAUGAUGUAAUUCAGUCGUUAGGCCUGGCUGAAAAAUGGCUGUAUAAUUUACUCUCACCAGCAGUAUUAUUUUCUGACAGUGACAGUGUAUACAUGCUACCAUUCAAAAGUUUGAAAUCAUUAGGAGUUUUUUAAUGAUAUUGAUACAAGUCUCUUGUGCUCACUAAAGCUGGAAAAAAUACAGUAAAACAGUGACAUUGUGAAAUAUUAUUAUGAUUUAAAAAAGCUGUUUUCUAUUUCAAUAUAUUUUAAAAUGCAAUUUAUUCCUGUGAUACAAAGCUGAAUUUUCAGCAUCAUUACUCUUGUCUUCAGUGUCACAUGACCCUUCAGAAAUCGUUUAACAUGCAGAUUUGCUGGAGAAUUUCUUGAUUUCUUUCACUAGUGUUGGUUCAUAUUUUAUAGAAACUGUGCUUUUUUUAAAUUAUUUGUAGAAUAGGAAGUUACACAACAACAUUGAUUUGAAAUAUAAUUUUAUAAUCUUAUAAAUGUCAUUAUUAUAACUUUUGAUCAACAAUCUUAGGGACAAUAUUUGCUCAUCUGACCAUUUAUUUAGGAACUAUCUGCAAGUAAGCAAGUAAAAUGUAUGCCAUUUUAUGGCCAUUAUGCCAUUUUAUGGGACAUAUAGACCUAUAAAUAUGUAAUAUUUAAUUUUUAAAUAUAUUAUAUUUAAUUUAAGGUAUAUAUAUAUACUGUCAUUAUAUUUAAAAAUUAUAUAUAUUAUAUUUAAAACUUUCUGAUACUGAUUAUAUUCAUUUUGUUACAGAAUUGUGGUGGCAAGUGAGCCAGAUGCUUCAGGGCAAGUUGAGGCGCUGGACUAUUUCGAGAAGUCACAUUUCUCUGGACCUGUCAUUUAGAUCUUUAUCAUUUAAUUUGAUAGGAGACAUUCUGAAAUAUAAUUAGGUGAAUUAGUUUUACCUCAGUCUCCUUUCUCCUCCUCCCCUGGAGCAAAAAAAAAUGCAAGUUAAAACUAACUCUUCUUACCCCACUGAAACGAUUGAUAUGUAAUAAAGCAAUAAACCACUGAGAGAUUUUGCAUUACUGUGAUUUCACCAAAAGUAAAUGGUGUUUUUACAUAUGAAGCACAUACCUAAAAUCACAGUAAUGCAAGGCCUCAGGUGGUUUAUUGCUUCUAUAAAGAUGAUGAAAGUCAUAGAUGUUUGUGAAAUAGUUAAAUCCAUUAAUAAUUGGAAUAAACAAUUCUUACGCCACAUAAUGUAGUUCAUUAGUUUAGCUGUAGGCUGUUUAGUGUCAUUAGUGUCAGAGCGAUAAGCAAAGAUUCGCCCCGGCUGCUUGCAUGUAAAUAUACUAAACGUUUAGUGAUCAGUAAGGGCAGUACAGUAGAUGUGUGCUCUAUGUGAGUUAUAAAACCCUGAAUGUGAGGGCGUAUUGCUUCGCCACUGAGAGAACAACUCACAUUGACCUGUAUUGCGCAAAGUAGGCUACCAGCACCGCUGGGGAACCUGGGUAACGAUCUCCAGUCUGCGUCAGAGGGGCUUUCACUGCCGCCCCAUCUCAUCAUCUGCCAUAAAGACGGGGCAGGACUGAGGAGAGAGAAGGAACAAAACGAAGAGAUCUCAUGCUCCACAUACCUCAGACCAUUGAUUGUAUCCAUGGAAACCACAAUGAAGCAGAGAAGAUGUUGUUUUUCUAAAGUUGGCAUUUUUUCUAGUGACUGGAGGUCUUCAAUGCAUCUUAAGAAAUCCCAAGAUUGAGAACAUUCCCUCAGAAUUCACUUUUGCAGCUUAUUUAUCCAUAAAACGCCAGAAUGCAAAUGAUAAAUAAAACAGCAGACACUGCAUUGUGAGCAUGUUAAGGGUUCAAGAGCACCUUGAAGGGAUGGAGUUUCCCCAUGAACAUUAGGUCCCGUGUUAAAUGACCUAUAUACUCAGUAAAACGGUGUCUGUCUCAAAUGUCUCUGCGUGGCUCCACUUAUGUGCGCAGCUAAAAUUAAACGUCACACUGCACCAGGGGGCCUUUCAUAUCUUUACAUAGACACAAGGCGGUAAAAUUAAACUGUGUAAUUUAGGUUGCCACUGGAAAUCCUCAAACAGUGCAGGUUGGAAUAUUUCACCAGAGGGAACCUAAUUUCUCUGAUAUUGAACUAUGAUGGAUGUGUGUCAUCACACAGACACAGAUUUACUUUACACCGAUGCUGUUAUUGCAGUCUGUAAAACAUUUAGCGUGGUAUAAUUGAAAGAAAUGCUGACAUACCUGUAUCAAGGUGAAUUUCUUGAAAAAUGGCCAGGCCGGAGCUGUGGCAUGGAUAGUAAUGUGUUAAACCUGACAUGUAAGUUUGAGUUCAUUCUAGGUCAUGUCCCAGUCCAGUUCCCCCUCUGUCUCCCUUUACUGUUGGUUCUCUACUGUGCUCCACAAUAAAGACAAUAUAUAGUACAAAAUAAAAAAGAAAAUAAAAUAAAAAUCUCAAUGAACUAUUGCAGUGCUCUCUUGGCAGGUCUUCCAGCCAGUUCUAUCAAACUUUUACAAAUUAUCUACAACGCGAUGAGCCGAAAUGAGCUGAAAAGAAUGCACGUCACCCUUCUGUUUAUCAAUUUGGACUGGCUACCAAUAGCUGCUCACAUAAAAAUCAAGGCAUUAAUGUUUGUCUACAAAACCACCACUGGCUCUGCACCCCUUUACCUAAAUUCAUUACUUCAGACAUAUGUGCCCUCUAGAAGUAAGGAAUGACAUCAUCACAGCGGCACCCCAAAAACGCAGUGUGUGUGUGUACAAUACUAAAAAUAAAAGGCAAAGAAUAAACCAGAACUUGAUCUACAUGUAUUUGGGGCUCUAAGUCAACAUAAAAAUCUGUUCACAAUCCAUUUUGCUUUUGUAAUGUGAUGUAUUUCUGAGGUAAACAGGAUUUUCAAUCAGACAAAAUUUAGGACUUUUGAAUAACAUGCACUCUUCUUUACAUUACUUGCUCGCCAGUGGAUCCUCUGCAGUGAAUGGGUGCCGUCAGAACGAGAGCCCAAACAGCUGAUAAAAACAAGUACAAGUAACCCACAAGGCUCCAGUUCAUUAACGUUGUAAAGUGAAAAGAUGUGUGUUUGUAAGAAACAAAUCCUUCCAGAGAAACCUAAAAUUCUUCCAAAUAAUCCAUAAUCCAUAAUAUUGCUUCCUUCAGUGGAAAAGACAACCUGUCUACAGUACUGUCUCCUGUUUACAAGCCAAAACCCUUUCUAAACAAGUAUGAGGUUUGAUUUUGCUGUGACGGGACAACUAGGGAUGGACUUUUUCACUGGAGGAACCAUUAUUAUGUGGAUAUAAUAUUGUAGUUGCUGUUUUUUAUCAGCUGUUUGGACUCUCAUUCUGACGGCACCCAUUCACUGCAGAGGAUCCACUGGCGAGCAAGUUCUGUAAUGCUACAUUUCUCCAAAUCCUUUCCCAUAAAGAAUCAAACUCAUCUACAGUACAUCUUGGAUGGCAUGUGGAUUUCCUGAGGUUGUUCUUUUGAGGAGGGUGACAGUCUGACAGCUCAAUUUGGUGGCGACGCCCCUGAGACCCCCCAUUAAACUGUGCUGGAGGUAACAUCAUAACUCUCCCAUGCUCCCUGAACAGGCCGCAAAGAGCAGAGAGGACAAACCAGAGCCGAUGAAUCAGUCUGGUACCUUCCCCAAACGCUCACAGGAUGACCUCUAUGGGCACAAAAUAUAGAAGGAAGUCCAUCUGCUGUCCUUAUGUAACUUAUUCAUUAUUAGUACCUGUUAAAGCAAAUAUCACUAUAAUAGUUAUUAUUAUCACUUUCUAACACAGUCCACGCACUCGAGUCUGUCGUCAAGACAAAUGGAGUGAAAGAACGUUUGCUUUGACGCAUUUGAUUUAAACAGCUCGUUGGCAUCUUUAUACAGAUGUUGUAUAGAAGGAUCCCAGUGUAAGGAACAAAUGGAUAGUUUAUUUUUAUCCCUGACCGUUUGUUAAAAGAUGAAGCGGUAGUAAGUAAAUGCUUUCAUAAUGCUUUGUCUGGACAUUACCAUUUUUAAUUUUUUUGAUCAUGUUGUCAAAACACUCACAUGCAAUUGGCGAGGGGGUUCGUUGUGCAAUGGCGUUAGAAAAUCAUAACAAGUGGCUGAUUCUUGACAAGCCUUAAAGUACAUGACCCUUAAAACAAGUCAUUUUAGACAGAGGGUCAGAACGAGGGUUGAAAAUAAUAAUUUUUCCACAUAUUUAUUUAUUUAUCCAAAAAUCCAUGUCAUGACCCCUUUACAUUAAUGUGGAUGUAGUUUUUGAUAUCUGAUCACAAAUGGCUACUCCUGGUAAAACUAAAACAUUCAUUAUUCAGUUCAACCAUAAAUCAGGUUUAUUGCUGCUAAAAAUGAGCAUCAUGUAAGGGAAAUUGUUUGUAUGUAAAUUGCUGUAGCGCAUAAUAUAUUUUUGGCCUAUCAUGAACAAGAUGAACUAUUAUCAAUGCAUGAAUCAAACUCAUUCAGGAUGCUUAAGGUUUCUGACAUUUUUCCAUACAUCAUUUUUUUUUUAUGAUAACGCUAGAUGUGGAGCUGAAAUGAUGUAUGGAACAGUGAAAUCACUCACUGUAAUAUUAACGUCUCAUCUGUGAAAUUUUGUCUGCUGACAGGAGACAGACCAUGUGACUUCCUCUGACUUCACAGAGUGCAAUGCUCUGUAAGUAAAAACAAUGUUCAGAAAUUGAUUUUUAAUGAAAACUUAAAAAUGACCUACUGUGAGUUCUACGGUUGUUAAUCAAUGGUAAUUUCUUUUGUUGAAAAUUAUUUUUGAAAUAAUUUUUUAACAGAUGAAUUUGAGGAAAAAAUACUUCAUUUUCUUAGGCAUAAUAAUGUUUCUUGUUUCUUUCUUUUCAUUUUGUGGUGAAAUAUGACCCUGGCAGCGUUUCCCAUUGGCGCCAAUGGUAAUCACCCAGAACACCCUGGUGAGAUUUGCACAGGGUGCAAGCACUAUUCACAUUGUCUUUAGAAAAUGUAAUAAUACAGAAUAUGUAUUACAAAGUGAUUGGAAUUCGCUAUGGGAGAUAUUUAGUUUUUUGAAACUUCAUUAUAUUUUUUAGAGAAUACUGAUCCUGUUUUCUACAUACUAAUGGGCUUCUAAACUUUGCUACUGCUGGCUGAUGAUUAAGUAAACUUACAGUUGGUUUUAGUUCUCUUUUGUCAUCAAUCAGGCUAGCAUGCGUUAUUAAACCUCUCAUGCCCACUUACCCAGACAUUUAAACUCUGUGCGCUGGGGUCUGCAGCCGAGUACACCUGAUGGAUUAGGACAGAAGCAUAGAGUGAUGGAGAGGAUGAGGGAGCCAGGGUUAUAUUUGGCCUGUCUAAACGAGAGGAGAUGUGGAUUGCCUUCUGCGCAGAUUUGUCGUUCCGAUGUGGGGUGGUGGCAUCUCUCCAGGUUUCCGUUAUGUGCCACUGACUGCGGUAAUGAGAGUCGUUUAUAUUGUCAUUUGUUUACAAGGCUUGCAGUGACCAUGUCUGCCACUGCCAGACAGGGAGCAGAAGGAGACGCUAAUAUGAGGAUGUGGAUAUGUUGAGUCUGUGGUGGUGUCAUUAAAAAUGGAUCAACAGAAUAACAAUAAACAAGGACAGUAAGUUCAACAGAUUAAUGAUUUGUCAAUUAGCAGAUGCUUUUAUCCAAUGUGACUCACAGUGCAUUUAACUAUUACAGGAAGAAACCUCUGAACGACCUGAGUACAAGUGUCUGAUUCAAUGACUAUCUAUCUAUCUAUCUAUCUAUCUAUCUAUCUAUCUAUCUAUCUAUCUAUCUAUCUAUCUAUGUUUAAAUAUUUGUUAAAUAUUAUUAGAUAUUAAAUAUUACUAAAUGUUAGUUUAAUAUUAGUUAUAUGAAUUCCUUCGAAUUUUAUUUAAUUGUACUUCCUUAUAUUCAGCUUCAAUUUACAGUUACAAUUCUGCUUUCUGUUUGCUUCCUCAAUUCAUUUUAAUUCAAUUCAUGAAAUAAAUUCAAACUGAGAAAGGGCAAUCACUGAACAAAUUCAGAAUUGUGUGCUUUAGUGUUACUGAGGACAGUUAUUAGGACAGUUGUACACUCACAAAUCUAAGCAUAAUGUUUUCUCUCAACAAACCUUUUGUACUCUGUGAGCUUGUUAUAAACGUAAUGCUUGUCCUAAAGUACUUUCUUUCUCUGAAUAUGAACAGUUUCAUCAUAUUCUUCAUAUGCUUUCAAUGCAGCAUCUCAAAAUGUGUCAAUCAAUCAUCAGAAAUAUGUGUAACUCUGUAAGGAAAUGUACACUAUUUAUUCAUAGAGUCGAGGGCCAGCUCGCUGCGGAAGUUAUCAGAGCGAUUGUCCUCCUGUCCAAGUCUCCAGCAGUGCCUUCAGGCAUCAGACCGUGUCGUCCCCGUGUCCUCACAAAUACCCUUCUACAGCACCAGAUGUUUCUACACACGUCGCUGAUAGAUAUACAGACCGGUAGAUUGCAACUUUGCACAAAUACAUUUUCACUAAUGACCAUCCAGCCAUUCAUUUCCACGACCCUGUUAUUCAGACUGCGUACAGUAGCAGCACAGUAUUUAUCCUGCUUCAUAAAGACCCAAAACACUUUUAUCCCAC